ACGAACGCUGGCGGCGUGGAUAAGACAUGCAAGUCGAACGAGAGAAUUGCUAGCUUGCUAAUAAUUCUCUAGUGGCGCACGGGUGAGUAACACGUGAGUAACCUGCCCCCGAGAGCGGGAUAGCCCUGGGAAACUGGGAUUAAUACCGCAUAGUAUCGAAAGAUUAAAGCAGCAAUGCGCUUGGGGAUGGGCUCGCGGCCUAUUAGUUAGUUGGUGAGGUAACGGCUCACCAAGGCGAUGACGGGUAGCCGGUCUGAGAGGAUGUCCGGCCACACUGGAACUGAGACACGGUCCAGACACCUACGGGUGGCAGCAGUCGAGAAUCAUUCACAAUGGGGGAAACCCUGAUGGUGUGACGCCGCGUGGGGGAAUGAAGGUCUUCGGAUUGUAAACCCCUGUCAUGUGGGAGCAAAUUAAAAAGAUAGUACCACAAGAGGAAGAGACGGCUAACUCUGUGCCAGCAGCCGCGGUAAUACAGAGGUCUCAAGCGUUGUUCGGAAUCACUGGGCGUAAAGCGUGCGUAGGCUGUUUCGUAAGUCGUGUGUGAAAGGCGCGGGCUCAACCCGCGGACGGCACAUGAUACUGCGAGACUAGAGUAAUGGAGGGGGAACCGGAAUUCUCGGUGUAGCAGUGAAAUGCGUAGAUAUCGAGAGGAACACUCGUGGCGAAGGCGGGUUCCUGGACAUUAACUGACGCUGAGGCACGAAGGCCAGGGGAGCGAAAGGGAUUAGAUACCCCUGUAGUCCUGGCAGUAAACGGUGCACGCUUGGUGUGCGGGGAAUCGACCCCCUGCGUGCCGGAGCUAACGCGUUAAGCGUGCCGCCUGGGGAGUACGGUCGCAAGAUUAAAACUCAAAGAAAUUGACGGGGACCCGCACAAGCGGUGGAGUAUGUGGCUUAAUUCGAUGCAACGCGAAGAACCUUACCUGGGCUUGACAUGUAAUGAACAACAUGUGAAAGCAUGCGACUCUUCGGAGGCGUUACACAGGUGCUGCAUGGCCGUCGUCAGCUCGUGUCGUGAGAUGUUUGGUUAAGUCCAGCAACGAACGCAACCCCUGUUGCCAGUUACCAGCACGUGAAGGUGGGGACUCUGGCGAGACUGCCCAGAUCAACUGGGAGGAAGGUGGGGACGACGUCAGGUCAGUAUGGCCCUUAUGCCCAGGGCUGCACACGUACUACAAUGCCCAGUACAGAGGGGGCCGAAGCCGCGAGGCGGAGGAAAUCCUGAAAACUGGGCCCAGUUCGGACUGUAGGCUGCAACCCGCCUACACGAAGCCGGAAUCGCUAGUAAUGGCGCAUCAGCUACGGCGCCGUGAAUACGUUCCCGGGUCUUGUACACACCGCCCGUCACAUCAUGGAAGCCGGUCGCACCCGAAGUAUCUGAAGCCAACCGCAAGGAGGCAGGGUCCUAAGGUGAGACUGGUAACUGGGAUG
rnacentral:rRNA from 1 species